rnacentral:rRNA from 1 species
AACGCGAAGAACCUUACCUGGGCUCGAAAUGUACGGGACAGCGGUAGAAAUACCGCCUCCUAGCAAUAGGUCCGUAUAUAGGUGCUGCAUGGCUGUCGUCAGCUCGUGUCGUGAGAUGUUGGGUUAAGUCCCGCAACGAGCGCAACCCUUAUCUCCAGUUGCUACCAUUUAGUUGAGCACUCUGGCGAAACCGCCUCGGAUAACGGGGAGGAAGGUGGGGAUGACGUCAAGUCCUCAUGGCCUUUAUGUCCAGGGCUACACACGUGCUACAAUGGCCGGUACAAACCGCUGCAACCCCGCGAGGGUGAGCUAAUCGGAAAAAGCCGGCCUCAGUUCGGAUUGGAGUCUGCAACUCGACUCCAUGAAGCUGGAAUCGCUAGUAAUCGUGGAUCAGCAUGCCACGGUGAAUACGUUCCCGGGUCUUGUACACACCG